rnacentral:rRNA from 1 species
CCUACGGGAGGCAGCAGUGAGGAAUAUUGGUCAAUGGGCGCAAGCCUGAACCAGCCAAGUCGCGUGAGGGAUGACGGUCCUAUGGAUUGUAAACCUCUUUUGUCGGGGAGCAAGGCCCGCCACGUGUGGCGGGAAGGAGAGUACCCGAAGAAAAAGCAUCGGCUAACUCCGUGCCAGCAGCCGCGGUAAUACGUAGGGGGCGAGCGUUAUCCGGAUUCACUGGGUGUAAAGGGAGCGUAGACGGCCGUGCAAGCCAGGAGUGAAAGCCCGGGGCCCAACCCCGGGACUGCUCUUGGAACUGUGCGGCUGGAGUGCGGGAGGGGCAGGCGGAAUUCCUGGUGUAGCGGUGAAAUGCGUAGAUAUCAGGAGGAACACCGGCGGCGAAGGCGGCCUGCUGGACCGCGACUGACGUUGAGGCUCGAAAGCGUGGGGAGCGAACAGGAUUAGAUAUCCGGGUAGUC